GACAGAGGAUGCAAGCGUUAUCCGGAAUGAUUGGGCGUAAAGCGUCUGUAGGUGGCUUUUUAAGUCUGCCGUCAAAUCCCAGGGCUUAACCCUGGACAGGCGGUGGAAACUACCAAGCUGGAGUACGGUAGGGGCAGGGGGAAUUUCCGGUGGAGCGGUGAAAUGCGUAGAGAUCGGAAAGAACACCAACGGCGAAAGCUCUCUGCUGGGCCGACACUGACACUGAGAGACGAAAGCUAGGGGAGCGAAUGGG
rnacentral:rRNA from 1 species